AUUGAACGCUGGUGGCAUGCUUUACACAUGCAAGUCGAACGGUAACAGGGAGCUUGCUCCGCUGACGAGUGGCGAACGGGUGAGUAAUAUAUCGGAACGUACCCAAGAGUGGGGGAUAACGUAGCGAAAGUUACGCUAAUACCGCAUACGAUCUAUGGAUGAAAGCAGGGGACCUUCGGGCCUUGUGCUCCUGGAGCGGCCGAUAUCUGAUUAGCUAGUUGGUGAGGUAAAGGCUCACCAAGGCGACGAUCAGUAGCUGGUCUGAGAGGACGACCAGCCACACUGGAACUGAGACACGGUCCAGACUCCUACGGGAGGCAGCAGUGGGGAAUUUUGGACAAUGGGCGCAAGCCUGCUCCAGCAAUGCCGCGUGAGUGAAGAAGGCCUUCGGGUUGUAAAGCUCUUUUGUCAGGGAAGAAACGGCUGUGGCUAAUAUCCACGGCUAAUGACGGUACCUGAAGAAUAAGCACCGGCUAACUACGUGCCAGCAGCCGAGUAA
rnacentral:rRNA from 1 species